rnacentral:rRNA from 1 species
UACGAAGGGGGCUAGCGUUGUUCGGAAUUACUGGGCGUAAAGAGCGCGUAGGCGGUCUUGUAAGUUGAGAGUGAAAGCCCGGGGCUCAACCUCGGAAUUGCUUUCAAAACUGCAAAACUAGAGUGUAGUAGGGGAUGAUGGAAUUCCUAGUGUAGAGGUGAAAUUCUUAAAUAUUAGGAGGAACACCGGUGGCGAAGGCGGUCAUCUGGGCUACAACUGACGCUGAGGCGCGAAAGCGUGGGGAGCAAACAGG